AACGCGAAGAACCUUACCUGGGCUCGAAAUGUAGAGGAAUAUGUCAGAGAUGCCAUAGCUCGCAAGGGCCUCUAUAUAGGUGCUGCAUGGCUGUCGUCAGCUCGUGCCGUGAGGUGUUUGGUUAAGUCCAGCAACGAGCGCAACCCUUAUCGUUAGUUGCCAGCACGUAAUGGUGGGAACUCUAACGAGACUGCCUGGGUUAACCAGGAGGAAGGUGAGGAUGACGUCAAGUCCGCAUGGCCUUUAUGUCCAGGGCUACACACGUGCUACAAUGGUCGGUACAGAAGGCAGCGAAACCGUAAGGCGGAGCAAAUCCUGAAAAACCGAUCUCAGUUCAGAUUGUAGUCUGCAACUCGACUACAUGAAGUUGGAAUUGCUAGUAAUGGCGUGUCAGCAACAACGCCGUGAAUACGUUCCCGGGCCUUGUACACACCGAGACGAC
rnacentral:rRNA from 1 species